UUCUCAUUUUACUCUCUCAGUAGCUUAACCAAUCAGAAGUCCCGUUCUACGCAAGUCGCACAUGAUCGUAUAAAAUUGCGUUCAUACAAAGACGAGGUUAACUUACAUGUUGGUCCAAAAAGGGAAGCUCUUUCUUUCUGGUGGAGUACUUUGACCUGUGAACAAGUCAUUUUUAUAAAGUGGAGUGCAAAUUAAAAAAAACGAGAACUUUGUUGAGAGUGCGCUCUUUCUCAACUUUUUUUGAAUUGAUUUUGUCAAAUGACAAGUGAAAUUUGCUGCUGGAAUUAAGAAUAUUUUGGAAACUUGGUAUCAGGUGCCCUAGUUAACGUGGGCAAGUUGUCUGGGCUGGAAGCCAUUGUGAAGCCCAUCGAAAUUAGAGGUUAGGCACACCGCGUGCUCGGUCAGUGACGAAACUCGUCCGGAAUCGUUCGGAAUCGUCGCUAGCGUCAGGAUUCGUUUGGGAUCAUCCUGUUUCGCUGAGGGUUAAAGCCAGCAGCAAGCCAGGGUUGUGCUAUUUACCGGUUGCGGACGCAGCCAUUGUGAUCUAGUACUUCGGUACGCUAGUGGCGCACACGUCACUUCCAGUGGGUUGUCAGCGGCACCGCUUUACGUCAACACAAAGCCGUACCGCACCGACGAAGUCGGGACGCAAACCUCGUUUAAGCCAAGACGUGCGACACCGAGCCCGUUACACCGCUCGGAAAACUCCACCGACGCCCGGGGACGCCUUUACCCCGAUGAUCUGUCCACGCACGAGGGCCCAUUGACCACUGCCAGGAUUCUGGCCAUCCCAAAACCCGUUACAAACCUUGAGCACAAACCCUAGGCCGCCCUCCGAGAAGUCUGCACGUGGAUGUAAGCAGCCCGCCGCAUGAGACACGUGCGUCAAGAGGUGCGUGAAACCGAUCGAGCCAACCGAACGAGACAACGAACGUGCGCAGCUACGUGGGAUCGCCGUGGGACAUCCGGUAGGACCGACGAACAACUAUAAGGUCAGAUCUAUCUUUUUGCAUUAUAUAAACGCCCCUGUU